ACCACCGGGCUUUCAGACCUCCCUUGGGAAAUAGGGGAGCUACAAAUACUGAUUUCUUGAAGAUCCACUUUGAAGCCCUGGAGCAUCUGCUUCAUGCCAGUCACACUCCUAAACACUGGGCAUAGAAUGUUUACCUUGCAGAUCCCAGACACCGAACAUAAGAGAAAAAGGAGGAAUUCCCUGGCGGUGCAGAGGGUUAAGGAUCUGGCACUGUCACUGCAUCGGCCUGGGUGGCUGCUGUGGCACAGAUUAGAUCCCUUGGCCCUGGAACUUUUGCAGCAAAAAAAAGAAGAGGAGUUCUUGCUGUGGCACAAGCCUUGCAGUCCCUCAUCUUGGUCGACAGGGACACCGACUCUCAUAUCUACUUUGACCACAUCUUGGUUAAUUCAGUCCACUAGAUCUACGUUUCUCCUGCAGAUUGUUAUCUCAUACUUUGGGAAGAACAGGCUUCCAGGCUUCCCAUGAUUUUUGCCUUUGUAACUCCAGUCAUUUAAGUGAAGUUCAAAUGAGAACACACACACAGAGAAGAAAAGAGCAAAUGACUAUGAAGACAAGUAUUAAUGGAGAUUUUUCAGUGGGAUGGAAAGCCUGUGAAAUCAGAUUGUUAUGAUCAUUAUACAACUACAGAUGUGAUAAAUUCAUUUGAGUAAUAAAAAAAUAAAUUAAUUAAUUAAAAGUAUUAAUGGAGAUUUUUCAGAAGGCUUGAAUGGUGCUUCUCGGUCCUGUUAAUACUGGCUGUUACGGGCAGUUCCAGUUGUGGCGCAGUGGAAACGAAU